GGAAAGAGUAAAUCCUAAAUAGACUGGAAGCUGAGAACAGACAGCCGGAAAGAAGCAUUUCAUAGGAAAAUGACAAAGACUUUACAGCAAGUCCCUUAUCUCCUUUCCUUUUUUAAAUCUUUAGAACAUGGUUAAUACUAUGUAUUUGUGGUUCAACUAGUAAACACUGAUUACACUUGGCAAGUGACAGCAAUAGCAGCAACCCCACAAAACUUAGGCA
rnacentral:lncRNA from 1 species